UAAAAAGUGAAGGCAAUAUUAUUGUUUUUUCACAUUUCUAAAUUCUACCAUAACAUAUAUUCCCUGUGGAAAAACCCAAAAGAAAACAUUAGUCUCAGGCAUUCUUCUAUGGAAAAAUUCCCAGAAAAUCUGCAAAAAAAUUAAUAAAUUGAAGGGUGUUCAAAAGCAAGCUGAAUAUUUACAGAUAAGUUGUAUUUAAAUAUAAAUUUUGAAAGAAAAAAAAAAGAAGAGGAAAAGCAAGAAUCUUUGUUUAUAGCUGAAUAAAGGGGGUGUUUUUAUGUUCAGGGUUCUUUUCUUGUAAUUUGGGUUUGUUUGGUGAGCUGCUUACAAUAGAAAGGGGAAUUUUUUUUCUGAAUAUAUAGUGUUUUGUAUAUGUUUUGUUAAUUUUGAAGAAUACCCUUUUGGAUUUAGGUUGCUAAAUCUCAGUUCUUUAAGUUAUUUCUUGGUAUUUUGUGAAAAAGAUUGGAUUUUUUUCUCUGGGUUGUGGUGGAUUUGUUCAGAUUGUAAGUUCCUGUUUGGUUGGUGAAAUUUCCUUAUCUGGGUUGUGGUGGGGUUUGGUUCUUGAUUUCCAAUCUGGUGCAAAGACUCUAUUUUUGUACCAGUUACGUCCUGUUAGUUUUUAUCUGUUUUAGUGAUUUGGAUUAGGAAAUUAGUUUAAGUUGGGAAAGUUGGAUUUGUUGAGGUCAGAAUGGGGAAGGAAAGUUGGACAAAGUCGAAAAAGAUAGGAGGUAAAUCUGGUGAAAGUAGUAGUCCUAGAGCAUUUGACAAGGACACAGCAGUUUUCAUUGCUAUGUCCAAGGAACUUAAGGAUGAGGGGAAUAAGUUAUUUCAGAAAAGGGACUAUGAAGGGGCAAUGUUGAAGUAUGACAAAGCUAUCAAGUUGCUUCCGCGGAACCACAUCGAUGUUUCUUACCUCCGCAGUAAUAUAGCAGCUUGUUAUAUGCAGAUGGGACUUAGUGAAUACCCUAGAGCGAUCCAUGAGUGCAAUUUGGCUCUUGAAGUCACACCGAAAUAUAGUAAGGCGCUUUUGAAGAGAGCUAGGUGUUAUGAGGCUUUGAAUAGGCUUGAUUUGGCACAGAGAGAUGUUAAUAGGGUGCUGGAGAUGGAGCCUAAUAAUCUCAUGGCUACGGAGAUUGCAGAGAGGGUGAAAACAACCAUUGAGGAAAGAGGUAUUGGUGUGAAUGACAUUCCGGUAGAUUUGAUCCCUGUACCGGAAUAUGUUGAACCAACAUUUGUUUCAAGUCACUCCAAAUCAUCAAAAGAGAAGGCUCUAAAGAAGAAAAUCAAGAAAGUAGAGGAGAAGAUGGUUAAUGGGAAGGCGGAAGAGAAGGAAUUUGACGCCGGAGUUGAUUUAAAGCAAACUGACAACAGGAAUGAGGAAAGGAACACUGAGGACCAAAAUGAAAAUACGGAUAAAGACCAGACUAAGGAAGAAAAGGUUGAUGACAAGACGGAGGGAAAUAAAGCUGAGAACAAGACCCACAGAAAGAAAGCUAAGGAUAAGAGUAAGGAAAAGAAGAAUAAGGACAAGAUCGAGGUCAAGAAUAAGGUUAAGGAUCGGUUUGAGGAGAACAAAGAUGAGGACAAUGAGGAGAGGAAAACUGAAGAUAAAUUGGUGGUGGAGGAAAUUAUUAGUCAUACCACAGAAGAAGAGACAAAAAGAACAGUGAAAUUAGUAUUUGGGGACGACAUAAGAUGGGCCCAAGUUCCUGUGAACUGCAGUAUCUUGACACUGAGGGAAAUCAUAGGUGAUCGUUUCCCAAGCUUAAAAGCUGUCCUAAUCAAGUAUAGGGACCAAGAAGGUGACCUGGUUACUGUGACAACAAACGAGGAAUUAAGGUGGGCUGAAGCUUCUGUUGGACAUGGUUCUAUAAGAUUCUAUAUCGUGGAAGUUAGUCCAGAGCAGGAUCCUUUCUAUGAGAAGAUCAAAGGGGUGGAAGACGAUCAUAAAUACAAUGCACGACAUGAUAAGAUUGUUGAAAAUGGAAAUGUUGAAAGAAGCAAGGAGUUGCAUAAUGGACCAGUUUGCAUUAAUGAUUGGAUCUUCCAGUUCUCUAAUUUGUUCAAAAACUAUGUUGGAUUUGAGUCCGAUGCUUAUCUGGAUCUCCAUGAAGUUGGAAUGAAGCUAUACUCUGAGGCUUUGGAAGAGGCAAUUACAAGUGAAGAAGCUCAAUGUCUUUUCAGCACGGCUGGAGAAACAUUUCAGGAGAUGGCUGCUUUGGCAUUGUUCAACUGGGGUAAUGUUCAUAUGUCCAGGGCACGGAAAAGGGUCUACUUGAAAGAAGAUAGUUCCGGAGAAUCUUUGCUGGCGCAGAUAAAAAUUGCUUAUGAUUGGGCUCUAAAAGAAUAUUCGAAAGCAGGAGAGAGGUAUGAAGAGGCAUUAAAUAUCAAACCAAACUUUUAUGAAGGUAUCCUCGCUCUGGGGCAACAACAGUUUGAGCAGGCAAAACUUUCUUGGUAUUAUACGAUUAGCACUGGUGUCAAUCUGGAUUCUUGGCCUUCUACUGAGGUUCUGCAGCUUUACAACAGUGCUGAGGAAAAUAUGGAAAGAGGUAUGCAGAUGUGGGAGGAGGCAGAGGAACAGCGUCUAAAUGAACUAUCAAGUACCAACAAAUUGCAGAAGAUGAAGUCAGAGAAUUUGUUCAAAGGAAUAUCUGCAGAUGAAGCUUCUGAGCAAGCUGCAAACAUGAUGUCUCAGAUAAAUUUACUAUGGGGUACCAUGCUAUACGAACGAUCACUUAUGGAGUUCAAACUUGGGCUUCCACUCUGGCAAGAAUCUUUGGAGGUUGCUGUUGAAAAAUUUGAAUUGGCCGGAGCUUCUCCAACAGAUAUUGCCGUUAUGAUAAAGAAUCAUUGUUCCAACAGUACAGCGACAGAAGGGCUGGGAUUCAAUAUUGACGAGAUAGUGCAGGCAUGGAAUGAGAUGUAUGAAGCAAAACGGUGGGAAAGAGGCGUCCCUUCUUUCAGGUUGGAACCAUUGCUUAGGCGGCGAGUUUCCAAGCUGUAUCAUGCCCUUGAAUUAGCAUGAGUUCUGGUUAUGGUGUCAGAGGAAUCAAGAAAGAAACUCACUAUUACUGUUGUUGUUGCACUCGGUCUACGCUAUGCUCGCUGGGAAGGGAUUGUUUGUGCAUCAGCUGUUAAUACAGGUUUUGGAAUUUGGACCUUGUGGCACUAUCACACUAAGGAUUGUAUUACCUGUUUUCGUUCCAUCGAUUUUUUACAGUAUCCCAAAGGAAUUAAAGAAAAAAAGAAAAGAGAAGUUUUUAUCCCUUUUCCUUUAUAUGGAGAUGAAGAGGCAAAAACAUGUUUUUCUUUAUUUUUGCCUUGUCGUCGUUGUCUUGCCCAGUGCUGUGCUGCAGGUUCCUCAAAGCCAGUAGCGAAUCGCUUUCUGUAAUUUUCAGUUAUUCUCCUUUUGGCUCAUGGAAGGGUCCUAAAGGCAUUCUUUUCUUAUAGGAAUUUCUUUGUUAGGAGAAUUUUUUGUUGUCACCAAGAUUGGCUUGUAGUACUGUUUUGUGUCAGUUUAGCUUUACUGUGUGUUUUUCUUAAGAGAUUUCACAAUUAGGGUCCUAGAUAGAGUUCUUGCAUUGUAUUGAUGUAACAUUAUGUUAGUUGAUUAUGUAUUGUACUUGUUUAUAUGAUGUUCCAUAUUGUUGGUUAGGUUGUAUUUUAA